UUGAAAUGCAACCUAGAUACUGAAAAAAAAAAAAUUCAGAUAUGGGUUCAAGACAAAAUUCGAGUCAAAGAAGUAAGAUACAGAAUUUUUUGACAAAACUCAGAUAAAAAUAUAGGUCGAAAACAAAAGCAAACACUAUAAGAUAUUUACAAGAGGAAAACAAAAUUAGUAUUGAGAAAGUCGAAGCGCUGGGCAAAUUCAUUCUUGACAAUAUAUGGUUAGAGCAGAUAAAUGUUUGAUGAAAUGCCCAACUGAGAAUCAACUAUGAAAAAACGAAAAAUUUCCGUCAUUUAAGAGGAGAAAAUGAACAUUCAGAUACAAAUAAACUAGCAGAAAUUAAAGAGAGAGAGAGAGAGAUUUUGGUACCUCGAGGCCCGCGCCUUCCUUA
rnacentral:misc_RNA from 1 species